AGUGAACGCUGGCGGCGUGCCUAACACAUGCAAGUCGAACGAGAACGGAUUAUAGCUUGCUAUAAUUGUCAGCUAAGUGGCGCACGGGUGAGUAAUGUAUAGAUAACCUGCCCUCUAGAAAGGAAUAACAGUUGGAAACGACUGCUAAUGCCCUAUAUGCCUUUAAUACAUAAGUAUGCAAGGGAAACGCUUUAGUGCAAGAGGAUGGGCCUGUAUGGUAUCAGCUUGUUGGUGAGGUAAUGGCUCACCAAGGCUAUGACGCCUAACUGGUUUGAGAGGAUGAUCAGUCACACUGGAACUGAGACACGGUCCAGACUCCUACGGGAGGCAGCAGUGGGGAAUAUUGCACAAUGGACGAAAGUCUGAUGCAGCAACGCCGCGUGGAGGAUGACACAUUUCGGUGCGUAAACUCCUUUUAUAUAGGAAGAUAAUGACGGUACUAUAUGAAUAAGCACCGGCUAACUCCGUGCCAGCCGCCGCAGUAA
rnacentral:rRNA from 1 species